CAGGAGUAAAGAGAGCAAGA
rnacentral:piRNA from 1 species